AUACGUAGGGUGCGAGCGUUUUCCGGAAUUACUGGGCGUAAAGAGCUCGUAGGUGGUUUGUCGCGUCGUCUGUGAAAUUCCGGGGCUUAACUCCGGGCGUGCAGGCGAUACGGGCAUAACUUGAGUACUGUAGGGGAGACUGGAAUUCCUGGUGUAGCGGUGAAAUGCGCAGAUAUCAGGAGGAACACCGGUGGCGAAGGCGGGUCUCUGGGCAGUAACUGACGCUGAGGAGCGAAAGCAUGGGUAGCGAACAGGAUUAGAUACCCUGGUAGUCCAUGCCGUAAACGGUGGGCGCUAGGUGUAGGGGUCUUCCACGACUUCUGUGCCGUAGCUAACGCAUUAAGCGCCCCGCCUGGGGAGUACGGCCGCAAGGCUAAAACUCAAAUGAAUUGACGGGG
rnacentral:rRNA from 1 species